rnacentral:sRNA from 1 species
AACUAAGGAAAGAUCAAGUAUAUGAAUUCAAAAGAUGGUGCGGUUUUACUUCAAGAUCAAUCGGUUAAGCACUAGACAACUAACAACAAGGGCAUUGAAACUAUCUAGUGAACAUGUAAAGUGAUGACAAAUGAUGAGAAAUGGUAUAAAACAGUGAUGAUAUGAUGCUAAAGUGAUGACAAAUGGAUGCUUAAAACAUGCAAAAUACACACUUAUCAACUCCCCCAAACUUAGUCUUUGCUUGCCCUCAAGCAAACAAUCAAGAACAAGCAGAAGGUGAGGUUUGAAAGCGGGGACUCAGAGCCAAAGCACCAGAUAGACCAGAUGAAAUCAAUGUCCAAGUUGAAAGUUCUAAGCUGGGAUAUGAUCGAAUUCUACUCAAAAACGUUAGCCAUGCCUUGUUAUUAAUCAAUCCGACUCUUAUGU